UGCCAAUAAAGCAAAUAAAUUCAAUAUACAAAUACAGAUCUGUUUUGGACUAUGCUGCAGAGCCCGAAAUAACGCGUGUUUAAUUAAUAAAGAAUGUCAGUUCAAAAUGAAACUUGAUGUCUUGAUCCGAAACUUUCAAAUCUCGUCGCAAUUUUAUCGAUUUCAUUUUGACUCCCGGCGUCCCUAAAUGUCCCUCGGGUAAGUCGCGUCGAUAAAUAAUACUUUAUGCCAAACAUUAUACAGUAUAGUUAACAUGCUUUAAAUUUUAUUUUACAAUUAUAUUCUUUGCGGGGAGCAUGUUUGUGGUUAACCCAUUCUUUCAAGGAAGGUGAUUACUAUUUUCGUCUGGAUAAAAUGUCCGACCAAUUCAGCAUUUGAUCAGAAAAACUGUAAUUGGCAAUGUUCGGAAAAUGUCCAAAGUCCGACCGUUAUUUUAGGCAUUGUGCUGUGCCAGUCUUUCACGGUUGCAAUCACUUGGAAAAUAUACAGAAAAUAUUAAGAUUGUUGCUUCUGAUUUCAAUCGAACUCUCCUAAUCAAGCUAACCAAUUAUCAGGAACCUUUGCCACGAGAUGUACGGCUGUAUACAGGCGAUCAUACGCAUUUUGAAGGUCAUCGUUAACAAUUGUUAAUUAAAAAUAAUGUCCAUAUUUCUGUUCAAUUUCUUCUGCCUUCAUUAUCAUAUCUUGCAGCUAUGUAAUAACCUGGAGUGACAACAUAAGAUAUCUUAAGGGACGGACCAUUACAUAUUUAAGGGGGGGGGGAUUUUUUCUGUGCACGAAUUUUUUUUUCAUCCCCAAAUUGCUUGCGAGGA